GAGGCAGAGUCUCACUCUGUCCAUUGCCCAGGCUGUAGAGCAAUGGCGUGAUCUCAGCUCACUGCAACCUCUGCCUCCCGGGUUCAAGCAAUUCUCCUGCCUCAGCCUCCCGAGUAGCUAGAACACAGGUGCCCGCCACCACAUCCGGCUAAUUUUUUGUAUUUUUAGUAGAGGUGGGGUUUCAUCAUGUUGGCCAGGCUGGUCUGGAACUCCUGACCUCAGGUGAUCCACCUGCCUUGGCCUCCCAAAGUGCUGGGAUUACAGGCGUGAGCCACUGCGCCUGGCUGCUCUGCUUUUUACCCAUAGCUCUGGCUCUAAUAUAUGACACUGCCCCUCCCUGAAUUAGAAUGGAGGCUACAGGGGGAUGCUGGUCUGUUAGUUGACUGAUGCAUCUUCAGCACUUAAGACAGUGUCUGGCACAGAGUAGGAACAGAAUAUGGUCCUGUAACAAAUACUGAAGGUUGUGCUCUGUGCACCUGGGAUAGAGCAGGAGCAAGACACAUCAUUCCUGCCCUCACAGGGUUAUGGUCUCCUAGGUGACAAGGUAGUGCACACUUCCAUAGGUCUUACUCUGGGACAAGUACUGUGCCAAAUGCUUCCUCCCAGCCGCCUGAUGAGGUAGCUACUGUUAGUUAUCAAGUCUGAUUUACAGUUUUUAUGUGGGGCAGGGUCUCCAAAGUACACGGGCUCUUUUCCCCACCCCUCUACCCUCAUUUUAACUGUGCAUCAAAUGGGUCCUGUUUCUUCUUCAUGUAUAAUUUUGCAGUGGGCUGAGGUUCAGGAGUUAAGUCAGCCCCAGGGCACAGGGUGGUGCAACAGAAGAGCCUGAGUCGAAUCCAGAUCUCCCCUCUCCACUAUUGGUCCAACAAGUGCAGUUCUUCUAGUCUCCUAUCUAGAUAAGCAGGAUAUUAGAAGGAAUAGGAGAGGCCUGCAAAAAGCUAUGAUAGGGUGGAAAUAGGAUAGGAGAAACUGAAAAAAGGGGAGGCGUGCGCUCCAACACCUCCAUAGCCCUUGGGGACGGGCUUAGUUUCUAAUGAGAAUACAGAAGGCCCAUGUCUCAAUAGGCCCCGAAAAAUAUUAAUCCAGCCCAAUAUGAACAGUCUGCUAAUUAUAUGACUGGGCCUGCUUAGGAGAUCAGGGCAAUAUUACAUUCAGAGUACUCAGUUUAGGAAGAUGACACAGUGUAAUACAUACAGAUUUCCAUCAUUUCUUUUAUUCCUCAUUUGGAGAGGCAACAGGGCUGAGAUAGACAUGUUAGCGAUGGCUAGAUUGAUUGAUUUAUUGACUGAAUGAAUGGCCUGCUUUAGGCAGCGGGAACACUGAAUGAACAUUUUAAAAUCAGCUGGUAUAGGUCAGGAACUGUGCAGGUUGCUGGGAAUGGGUAGAUGAAAAGACAUUGCUAUGGUUUGGCUGUGUCCCCACCUAAAUUUCACCUUGAAUUGUAAUCCCCAUGUUUCAAGGGUGGGACCAGGUGGAGAUAAUUGAAUGGGGGGGUGGUUUCUCCCAUACUAUUCUGGUGGUAGUGAAUAAGUCUCACGAGAGCUGAUGGUUUUAUAAAUGGGAGUUCCCCUGCACAAGCCCUCUUGCCUGCCACCAUGUAAGAUGUGACUUUGCGCCUCCUUCCCCUUCCACCGUGAUUGUGAGGCCUCGCCAGCCAUGUGGAACUGUGAGUCAAUUAAGCCUCUUUCCUUUAUAAAUUACCCAGUCUCAGGUAUGUCUUCAUUUGCAGCAUGAGAACAGACUAAUACAGACAUGGACCUUGGCUGUAGGGAGUUUGCACUGUAGUGACGGCAAGAGCUCACGUGAUCCAUUUUAAGAUAGAAGAGCGAGCUCAGGCAGAGGAACACAGAGCCAGGAUGGUCCAUGCACGGAAUCUGGCCCUGCCCUUACUUUCUCCAGGAGCAUGGGCUGGGUCCCUCUCCUCCCUAAUCCUCACUUUGCUCAUGUGUGAAAUGUAGAUCAAGUAAGUUCUACACUCAGAGGUCUCUUGUGAAGAUUAAAUGAGAAAAGGCAUGGAAACUGCCUUUGCACACAGCCUGGUAUAUCCUGAUGUCUGCUGAUACUCUUAUUUUUAUGUUCCUUGACAUUCCAAAUCUGCCCCAGGGAGAAUUCCAGGACAGCUCUGGAGAGGAAGUGAUCUUUGAAUCCAACCUUGAAAUCACCCUAGGAGAUGCAAAGAAGGUGACACCAGUUAAGAAUAAGAUGUGUACCCAUUUUCAAAUGUUCUUUUUUUUUUUUUUCAGAUGGAGUCUCGCUCUGAUGCCUAGGCUGGAGUGCAGUGGGGUGAUCUCGGCUAAUUGCAACCUCCGCCUCCCGGGAUAAAGCGAUUCUCCUGCCUCAGCCUCCCGAGUAGCUGGGAUUACAGGCGCCUGCCACCAUGCCCAGCUAAUUUUUGUGUUUUUAGUAGAGAUGGGAUUUCACCAUGUUGGCCAGACUGGUCUUGAACUCCUGACCUCAAGAAUCCACCUGCCUUGGCCUCCCAAAGUGCUGAGAUUACAGGCAUGAGGCACUGCACCUGGCCCAAAUCUUCUCAGUUCUAAAUGGCUGUGAUAAAAACUACAUUGAUAAUUUUUUUUUUUUUUUUUUUUUGGAGAUGGAGUCUCGCUCUGGUGCCCAGGCUGAAGUGCAAUGGCGCAAUCUUGGCUCACUGCAAGCUCCGCCUCCUGGGUUCACGCCAUUCUCCUGCCUCAGCCUCCCGAGUAGAUGGGGCUACAGGCGCCUGCCACCACCCCCGGCUAAUUUUUUUUGUAUUUUUAGUAGAGACGGGGUUUCACCAUGUUAGCCAGGAUGGUCUUGAUCUCCUGACCUCGUGAUCCGCCCACCUCAGCCUCCCAAAGUGCUGGGAUUACAGGCCUCUGCGCCUGGCCUUGCAUUGACAAUUAAUUUGUUUAUGGAAAGCCAGUUAUCCAAUGAUGGUGAACAAAUGCAACUUGACUGUAUAAUACUUAUUUUGGUUUUGGACCAAAGUCACCAUUAAAUAUGCCAAGUUCUUGUUCAAG
rnacentral:lncRNA from 1 species